rnacentral:rRNA from 1 species
UACGUAGGCAGCGAGCGUUGUUCGGAGUUACUGGGCGUAAAGGGUGUGUAGGCGGUUGUUUAAGUUUGGUGUGAAAUCUCCCGGCUCAACUGGGAGGUGCGCCGAAUACUGAAUGACUUGGAGUGCGGGAGAGGAGAGUGGAAUUCCUGGUGUAGCGGUGAAAUGCGUAGAUAUCAGGAGGAACACCGGUGGUGUAGACGGCUCUCUGGACCGGUACUGACGCUGAAGCGCGAAAGCGUGGGGAGCAAACGGG